UACGUAGGGGGCGAGCGUUAUUCGGAAUUAUUGGGCGUAAAGGGCGCGUAGGCGGCCUUGUAAGUCAAAGGUGAAAUCCCUCGGCUCAACUGAGGAACUGCCUUUGAAACUGCAAGGCUUGAGGCCGGGAGGGGGUAGCGGAAUUCCCAAUGUAGCGGUGAAAUGCGUAGAUAUUGGGAGGAACACCGGUGGCGAAGGCGGCCACCUGGACGGAUACUGACGCUGAGACGCGAAAGCGUGGGGAGCAAACAGG
rnacentral:rRNA from 1 species